rfam:Gossypium arboreum cultivar AKA8401 contig_9386_1, whole genome shotgun sequence.
CUCAAGUCUGUGUAGCUGCUGUAAACAUGGACAAAUAUCAAUAUGCAGGCUUUAGGUGGGUGAGCCAUUAGUACAUUUUUGCCCAUAAAGAACCUGCGUUACAUUA